rnacentral:rRNA from 1 species
UACAGAGGUCUCAAGCGUUGUUCGGAUUCAUUGGGCGUAAAGGGUGCGUAGGCGGCGCGGUAGGUCGGGUGUGAAAUCUUGGAGCUUAACUCCGAAACUGCAUUCGAUACUGCCGCGCUUGAGGACUGGAGAGGAGACUGGAAUUUACGGUGUAGCGGUGAAAUGCGUAGAUAUCGUAAGGAAGACCAGUGGCGAAGGCGGGUCUCUGGACAGUUCCUGACGCUGAGGCACGAAGGCCAGGGGAGCAAACGGG